GCGGGCUUCUUCUUCGUCCUCUUAAAAGUUGUAGAAGCGCAUGUGAUGCUAGCGCCACCAGCUGCUCUGCCUAUUUAAAUAUGUCGCGAACGCCGGCUGGCCACAGCAGCGCGCACCAUGUCGGAGCAGCAGCAGGAUGUGAGGAUAUCCAUUUUCAGCUCGGAAAAGUUUUGCAUCUUUCGUAAUAUUUAUUCUCUUUCAUGUUUGACCUCAGUGGGCGAGGCUUUUGAACCACGAAUAUUUAAGGGCGUAAACAUGUUAAUGACGAUCGAUUUCAGCCGCCGCAUUUAUCAAGACCCGAUCAUAUGUACGCUGGGAUUGGUCAGAUACGAACCCUUUCAUAAAUCUCACGUGUGUCCUAUCGUACGAUGAAUCCUGCGCUCAGAUCUGUGCUCAGUUCUACGCAGCGGCGUCGCCAGACAGAUUUCACUAGUGCCCCAGAAAAAAUUUCACCAAUAAAAAAAAAAAAUCCCUUCAGAGUUUUAAGUCUACAUAGCAUCGACUACAGCGCACAUACUAUUUAGUAUGGUAAUUAAGUGCUACUGUAUUCACUCCACAUAAACAAUGCGCACAUGGCUAAUUAAUAUGGUAAUUUAUUCACGUGUAGCGACUUCGGUUGAUAAUACUUCCGUGUCAACUCGAAGUCGAGAGAGAGAGAGAGAAACAGGCGAUGAGAAUAACUGCGCGAGGUAGGUAACGUUAGCCGACAACAACUUGUUAAAUACAUUAUUUUGAUUUUGAUUUGACUCGAACUGUAACUCCUAGAUGGAUAUCAGAAAGUUAUUCGCCCGCAGCAGGGAUAAAGCAGCGAGGAAUGAGAGAGGUAAGCGAAGUCCUAGCUAGCUAGGCAACAUAAGUCUGUCUUAAAUUAAUGCUAAGUUAGCUAAAGUUAUUCCUUGUAUCAAGACAACCAUAUUAAUUUGCUGUACGAGCUGUGGGGGGAAUUUCCAGUGAGUUUCAAAAGCAUGAAACAUAAUGAUGGUUAUGUUCUGCUCAGGACCUCUGCAUCAAUGAUGACUUUGAGUAAGCUUGUGUUAGUUGACAGAUAUAGCCUAUGGAUGGUGCAGUGGUUCUCAAAUGGCCUAUCUUCGAGAAGAAAAACAUUGAUAUAUAUAUAUAUAUCAAUGUUAUAUAUAUAUAUAUAUAUAUAUAUAUAUAUAUAUAUAUAUGUCUGUCCAAACAAAGUGGAACAACAGAGUGCUGGAAGAGGUGAGGGAGAGAUGAAAGUUGAUGAGCAAGAGCAGAGGUGAGUUGAGUCAUUUGUGAGUCAUUUGAUUUUGAAUAUCGAUGGCAGAAAUACAAAACCUCCCAUAUGAGGAAAAAACAAUUUUUUGGAGAACAAAAAACCUUCCAGUUUCUUACAGAAUGCUUUUUGGUCAGGUGACUUUUUUUGUCACAAGGAAGGGUGGGAUUUUUUAAUGAUAAAUAAGUGCUGAAUAUGUUUUUUCUUUCACGCGCACUUUGCGCGCUCUCAUGAUUUUUUUGUGCCCGAG